GAAAUGCGAUAAUUAAUGUGAAUUGCAGAAUUCAGUGAAUCAUCGAGUCUUUGAACGCACAUUGCGCCCCCUGGUAUUCCGGGGUGCAUGCCUGUCCGAGCGUCAUUGCUGCCCUCAAGCACGGCUUGUGUGUUGGGCUUCCGUCCCUGGCAACGGGGACGGGCCCAAAAGGCAGUGGCGGCACCAUGUCUGGUCCUCGAGCGUAUGGGGCUUUGUCACCCGCUCCCGUAGGUCCAGCUGGCAGCUAGCCUCGCAACCAAUCUUUUUAACCAGGUUGACCUCGGAUCAGGUAGGGAUACCCGCUGAACUUAAGC
rnacentral:misc_RNA from 1 species